rnacentral:rRNA from 1 species
AGUGAACGCUGGCGGCGUGCUUAACACAUGCAAGUCGAACGAGAACGGAUUAUAGCUUGCUAUAAUUGUCAGCUAAGUGGGGCACGGGUGAGUAAUGUAUAGGUACUAUGCCUCUUACUAAGGGAUAACAAAUGGAAACGUUUGCUAAUACCUUAUACUCCUUCUUAACAGAAGUUAAUAAGGGAAAGAUUUAUUGGUAAGAGAUUAGCCUGUAUUGUAUCAGUUAGUUGGUGGGGUAAUGGCUUACCAAGACUAUGACACAUAACUGGUUUGAGAGCAUGAUCAGUCACACUGGGACUGAGACACGGUCCAGACUCCUACGGGAGGCAGCAGUGGGGAAUAUUGCACAAUGGACGAAAGUCUGAUGCAGCAACGCCGCGUGGAGGAUGACACAUUCCGGUGCGUAAACUCCUUUUAUAUGAGAAGAUAAUGACGGUAUUAUAUGAAUAAGCACCGGCUAACUCCGUGCCAGCCGCCGCAGUAA